GUGAGGAAUAUUGGUCAAUUGACGGAAGUCUGAACCAGCCAUGCCGCGUGCAGGAAUAAGGUCCUAUGGAUUGUAAACUGCUUUUAUUCGGGAAUAAACCUCUUUACGUGUAGGGAGCUGAAGGUACCGAAGGAAUAAGCACCGGCUAACUCCGUGCCAGCAGCCGCGGUAAUACGGAGGGUGCAAGCGUUAUCCGGAAUCAUUGGGUUUAAAGGGUCCGCAGGCGGGCUAUCAAGUCAGAGGUGAAAUCCCACAGCUUAACUGUGGAACUGCCUUUGAAACUGAUGGUCUUGAAUUAAGUGGGCGUUGGCGGAAUAUGACAUGUAGCGGUGAAAUGCAUAGAUAUGUCAUGGAACACCGAAAGCGAAGGCAGCUAACGAUACUUAUAUUGACGCUCAUGGACGAAAGCGUGGGUAGCGAACAGGAUUAGAAACCCCUGUAGUCC
rnacentral:rRNA from 1 species